AGCAGGGAAGAAGCGAAAGUGACGGUACCUGCAGAAGAAGCGCCGGCUAACUACGUGCCAGCAGCCGCGGUAAUACGUAGGGCGCCAGCGUUGUCCGGAAUUAUUGGGCGUAAAGAGCUUGUAGGCGGUUUGUCGCGUCUGCUGUGAAAGCCCGGGGCUCAACCCCGGGUCUGCAGGGGUACGGGCAGACUAGAGUGCAGUAGGGGAGACUGGAAUUCCUGGUGUAGCGGUGAAAUGCGCAGAUAUCAGGAGGAACACCGAUGGCGAAGGCAGGUCUUUGGGCUGUAACUGACGCUGAGGAGCGAAAGCAUGGGGAGCGAACAGGAUUAGAUACCCUGGUAGUCCAUGCCGUAAACGUUGGGCACUAGGUGUGGGGGACAUUCCACGUUUUCCGCGCCGUAGCUAACGCAUUAAGUGCCCCGCCUGGGGAGUACGGCCGCAAGGCUAAAACUCAAAGGAAUUGACGGGGGCCCGCACAAGCGGCGGAGCAUGCGGAUUAAUUCGAUGCAACGCGAAGAACCUUACCAAGGCUUGACAUGGACCGGACCGCCGCAGAAAUGCGGUUUCCCUUCGGGGCUGGUUUACAAGGUGGUGCAAUGGUGUCGUCAAGCUCG
rnacentral:rRNA from 1 species